AAAAAAUGUCUACUGAAGGACUGGAUCUUAAAGGCAUAAAACAUGAUGUAAAUAUGCCAGUGUGCUUAUGAUGCCAUUUCCACUAGAUGCUGCAUCUUUAUGCCAAAAUUGAUUUUUCCAUUUUCUAUGUCGCAUACAAGAGCACGUUGACCAUUUGUUGUCAGUGUGUGAGCUGGUUGUUGAAACUGUUCUAUGAAAUGAUAUAUAUCACACAUCCAUGCACUUCUUUUAAGUUUUGCUACUACAAAACCAUGACAUUUGAUAAAUUCAUGAACAAAGCCAUUAAUAAAUAACAGUUCUUGAAUUUUGUUAUCCAUAUUGAAUCAGCUAACUCCAAAUGAUGUCACAGUAAUUGUCCAAUAGAUAAACGACGUUG
rnacentral:lncRNA from 1 species